rnacentral:rRNA from 1 species
UACGAAGGGGGCUAGCGUUGCUCGGAAUCACUGGGCGUAAAGCGCACGUAGGCGGCUUUUUAAGUCAGGGGUGAAAUCCUGGAGCUCAACUCCAGAACUGCCUUUGAUACUGGGAAGCUUGAGUCCGGAAGAGGUGAGUGGAACUCCGAGUGUAGAGGUGAAAUUCGUAGAUAUUCGGAAGAACACCAGUGGCGAAGGCGGCUGACUGGUCCGGAUCUGACGCUGAGGCGCGAAAGCGUGGGGAGCAAACAGG